UAGGCGGCCCCACUAUGAAGCGCUAGAAACGUCCAGCACUCUGGGACCCCGAUGGAGCUCUGCGAGUAUGAGGCCGUAGGCUACAUGGUUUGUGAUUGUGUUUUGUUUUCUUUUCUUUUGAGGCAGGGUCUCUCUAUAUAGCCCUAGCUGGGCUCGAAGUUACAGAUAUCCAACUAUAUUCCCCUUCCACAUGCUGCUGGGAUUAAAAGCCUGUGCUACCACGCCGGGCUCCAAGGCUACAGAAUGAGACCCUUUCUCAAAAACAUAAAAAGUAAAAUAAAGUGGUUUCGGAAGUUCUACAGCCAAGUUGAUCAGGUAGAUUGAAGGUCCGGAGCGCAGCCGCGUUGGGGCAAAUUUAAAGGGGUUUGUGGCAACACUGCAAUGCCUGCCCUCUUUUUCCAUGGGCCACUUCUCAGGACUGUGUUUGCAGGAAGAGGGAUGCAAUGAUGCCUACAAGAAACAGCAGGCAUGCUGCCAGCAUAGGGGUUCACAUCCCCAGCAUUAACAAGGCCGAGGGAAUAGGACUGCCUCAAGAUGGAGGCCACCUGGGCGACAGUAGCCAUCCCAAGCAAGCCUCAGCUGCUGAAGUGAUAUCUUGUCUCACAAAAUUAAUGAAUGACAAAAAUGAAAAGAGCAAGCGUGCUUAGUGCUUAUUAUAAAAUGGAAGGUUCUCCAAGAUCAGUGUGCCUCUCUCAUGAUGCGGCCACAGCCUAUGCAAGCAUCUGCCCGAGCCUUCUGCAUCAGACUUAGGGAGCACGAAGACUGUGUCUGUCAAGAGCUCUGAGGAAUACCAGCGGAAGCACCUGGCUGCCCAUGGCCUGACGAUGCUAUUUGAACACAUGGCCACAAAUUACAAGCUUGAAUUCACAGCGCUGGUGGUGUUUUUGUCACUGUGGGAGCUGAUGGUCCCCUCACGAGAGACUACAACACCCUGCAGGAAGCACUGAGUAACAUGGAUGAUUAUGACAAAACCUGCUUGGAGUCUGCAUUAGUCAGCGUUUGCAAUAUUGUCCAGCAAGAAUGGGGUGGAGCGAUUCCUUGCCAGGUUGUUCUGGUGACUGAUGGCUGUCUUGGUAUUGGCAGGGGGUCACUGGGACACUCCCUAGCUACUCAGAAUCAAAGAAGUGAGAGCAACAGGUUUCCACUCCCCUUCCCUUUCCCAUCUAAGUUAUAUGUCAUGUGCUUGGCGAACUUGGAGGAGCUUCAGAGCACCGAUUCCUUGGUAUGCCUUGGUAUACCAUAGACUUAAUGGUGAAGGGCAAAUUUUUCUAUUGAUGGCCCCCUGUGUUUGAAAAAUGUGCAAUCUAUGUUUGGAAAGCUGAUAGAUCUGGCGUACACACCUUUCCAUACUGUUCUCAAGUGUGGCCACCUAACGGCUGAUGUACAAGUCUUGCCAGAGCCUUUUGUUAUAGAUGAAGAAAUUGACCCCAUCCCUAAAGUCAUUAACACAGACUUGGAAAUAGUGGGCUUUAUUGACAUAGCUGAUAUUUCCAGCCCCCCAGUUUUGUCCAGGCAUUUGGUCUUGCCCAUAGCACUUAACAAAGAAGGUGAUGAGAUGGGUGCUGGCAUCACUAAUGACAAUGAAGAUGAGAAUUCAGCCAAUCAGAUUGCUGGCAAAAUACCCAACUUCUGUGUCCUGCUCCACAGCAGCCUGAAGGUGGAAGGAAUGGUGGCACUUGUCCAACUAGGGCCUGAAUGGCAUGGAAUGCUCUACUCCCAAGCUGACAGCAAGAAGAAAUCAAACCUCAUGAUGUCUCUCUUCGAGCCUGGCCCAGAACCUCUCCCGUGGCUUGGGAAAAUGGCCCAGUUGGGGCCCAUCUCAGAUGCUAAAGAAAAUCCUUAUGGGGAGGAUGACAACAAGAGCCCCUAACGCAAACAACAGGGAAAAUACUAGGGUGGAUGAGAAGGGGGAGGUGACCAUAGGGAAGGGCCAUUCAAAGUUUAUGCUGGUCUCAUAUCCAGCUAAAGCAGACCCUGGCAUAGACAGCACAGGGCUGGGUCUUCAUAAUUCCUCAAAGCCAAAGGUAAUGGGAGCUAGUUUAGGUAAUGCUGAGUUAAUGAGAGCCCGAGGAAAAGGGUUUUGUGUUUUGGCUUGGGGUUUGGUUUGGCUUCUUUUUUUUCCUUUUUCUUUCUUUCUUUCUUUCUUUUUUUUUAAGCAGCUGAUUGUGAUCUACAUUUGAAAAUGUUCCUAAGUGAUGCUGUGAUUCGGGGAAGCUGGAGCUCUGGGGCUCAAAGCCUGCAACAGAAUUGCAGCAUGAAUCUAGAGAUCCUAAGGGCAAGGUUCUUCCCAGCUUGGGAAACCUAACCAAGAUCCAAUCUAUGUCUGAGCCUCAAAGGGCCUCAUGAGUCCCCUAAAACUUACAAUCUUACAAUGUGUGUACAUUGUUUGAGUUUGUACAUGUAUAAGUGAAUAGCCAUAGGGUUUUGUUUUGUUGUUUGCUUUGUUGUUUUGUUUUUCAAGACAGGAUUUCUCGGUGUAGACCUGGCUGUCCUGGACCAUGCUGAACUCAGAGACCCAUCUGCUUCUGCCUCCUGAGUGCUGGGAUUAAAGGCGAGUGCCCAGCAGGGUUUGAUUUCGGUUUGUUUGUUUUUUUUUUUUAAAGCAGAUUUUCAGUAAGGAAUCAUGGACAUAAUGGUUUAUACAAGAUAUUAGAAGAACAGGAUAUAUUUGAUAAAUGCAAUGCUUUGUGGAAGUUACUGACAGAUGCUGGGUUGAGAUAAAGACCAAACUCAUGUUUAAAUGCUUAUACCAUGAUGCUGCGAACACAAAAGGGAAUAUUUGGGUUUUGUUUUUUACUUAUAGGAAAUAAAACAUUAGAUGACUGUCU